UACCAGCACCCCGAGUGGUCGGGACGUUUAUUGGGCCUAAAGCAUCCGUAGCCGGUUCUACAAGUCUUCCGUUAAAUCCACCUGCUUAACAGAUGGGCUGCGGAAGAUACUAUAGAGCUAGGAGGCGGGAGAGGCAAGCGGUACUCGAUGGGUAGGGGUAAAAUCCGUUGAUCCAUUGAAGACCACCAGUGGCGAAAGCGGCUCUCUGGAACGGUACUGACGCUGAGACGCGAAAGCGUGGGGAGCGAACAGG
rnacentral:rRNA from 1 species